rnacentral:lncRNA from 1 species
CACCACCUUAAUCCAUCUCAAGGCUGAAGAACAGACCUCGGCUCAGUAACACACAGGUUACAAGCUUGAGCACCUGCCUUAAGCCUCACAGCGCACAACACCUGUUGUCUGUUAUUAUCUGGGAGCAGGAUCCUUACUCAGUGACGCCUGGUUAUACCCGCCCUGCAGCUGAGGACACAGAGGCCCAAGGACCAGAGCUAGCUUGUCAGGACGGCAGAGUCAAGAAGUCAGGGCGCUGGGGUCAGAGCCCCUUAUCCAUGUGACCGUCCACAAUGGGGGUCUCUCAGGGCUCCGGCCCCCUCUGCUCCUCCCCACUCCAUCUUUCCCCUACUCCAUCUUUCCCCAACUUGUGCUGCUAUCCCCUACCAGAGGUGAACAGCACCAACUCCCAGGCCACAAGGAUCUCAGUCAGAGCCCUAUGGACCAUAGUGCCACCUGGGAAGCUAGGCUGGAGCACAGGAAGGCAGCAGCUACUGGGUCUAGUGAUGGAGGUUCUUCUAUUUGGAGUUGAAUCCAAUCUGUCUCCUCCAUGGCAAGACUUCAUCAGAGCAGUUUCCAGCCUUCUGUCUCUUGGUUAUCGUGGACUCAGGGCAUUGCCAGGGAGGCCUCAGCACAUUGACCCAGAAGCCUGCUUAUCAGUCCCCAGGAUGCAAGACUCUCAUAAGUUCCUUUGUUGGAAAGAAGUUUGAUGGCAACUGCUUCCCAGCCAGGCUCACAACCUUCAACUUCUCUCUACAAGGGCUCUUGGGAGUCAGCAGUCCCUCCAGACCUGGUCCAAUAACCCCAUUGAAUAAAUGGUCUGCCUGGCUGUGUUUUAACA